AUGGCCAUGCUGUCCCCAGCUCAUCUCCUCAUUCUUCUUUUCCUCUGUUUCUCUGAUUCUAGGGCAGAAACAACUGUGACCCAGUCUCCAGCAUCUCUGUCCAUGGUUGCAGGAGAAAAAGUCACCAUCAGUUGUAAAACCAGCACAAAUAUUGAUGAUGAUAUGAAUUGGUACCAGCAGAAGCCAGGGGAAGCUCCUAAGCUUCUUAUUUCAGAAGGGAAUACUCUUCGUCCUGGAGUCCCUUCCCGGUUCUCUAGCAGUGGCUAUGGCACAGAUUUUGUGUUUACAAUUGAUAAGAUGCUCUCAGAGGAUGCUGCAACUUACUUCUGUCUGCAAAGUGAUAACUACCCUCUCACAGUGCUAUGUCCUCUUACAAAAACCUGCAGAGGCUGUUGGUGA